GGGACGAUCGGCUGGAGUUGGUGGUCGCGGAUCAGGCCGACAAGGGCAGCUGGCACGGCAGGAGGCCGGGCGCCCGCGGAGAGAAGAAAAACAGAAGAAAAGAACAGAAAAGGAGGAGAACAGAAGAGACCGAAGAGAGAGAGCUUGGGCGAGAGAAGUGCUCGAGAGAGGGUGGAGAGCCAAAGAGAGGCUCGACCGUGCACGGGAUCUCGCUUCUCGACCCCCUUUCUUCUGGAACUGUGAGAAACCGAGAGAGCUGAGAAGGAGCCGAGAGGAACACAGAGAGAACCGAGAGGGAGAUUGAAGCGAGAGAUAUCCGAGAGAGUGAAGUCGAAGGAGCGUUUUGGCUGCCAUAGGUCGUCCGUUCGUGAGUUGCUGUCCGCCGCAGCUCUUCUCAUUGAACCAGGUAGGUCUUGUCUGCUCAUGUAUGCUCCAUUUUUGUAAGGCGUCGGAUCGGAACUCGCAGCUGACCAGUUCAAGCGAGCUUCGGUCCCAUUGAGCCUCCAUUGAUGUUUCUGUGCGUGCUAGUAUGCUCAUGUAGAAGCCUAAGCUUGAUUUGAGUUUCGAUCGAGGGAAAAUCUUCUCGUUUCAUUAGUGCAGACCAUGCGUUCGACAAAAUGCCUUAAAAAAACCGAGAGUAGCCUGCGUUUUAACGCCGAACCCACUCAUUUUUGCCCCCGUGCUUGCUGAAUCCUCGUUGCCUUGCCUGUAUUCGUUGUGUUUUCGAGCGGUUUGCGCGAGACAUUUGCAUGUAUUUGAAUCGACGAAACUUCUCGUUGCGUCGGAAAUGGGUUAGUGGUCGCCGGAAUAGGUAGCCGGCGAUGGCCAGCGCCGGUCGAGGGGGAUGACCGGUGGGCGGCAGUGGUCCCGUGGCCGACGCCGGUUGCUCCGGCCGGCGUUGAUGUAUGGUGCAGAAGGAGGCUUCGGGCGGAGAAAAAAUUCGUGGGGAAGAAGACCAUGGGAAAAAGACAAAUAAAAAAAGCAAAAGAAAAGAAAAGUAAAGAAUAAGAAAAAAAGCAAAACAAAAAAAAAAUAGAAAACUUUAAAAUGGCAAAAAGUGGCUUCGGAAGGACCGUUGAGCAGAAGAUGGAGCAGCAGAAAAGACAAAAUAGGGAUAAGACUAAAAGAAAAAAUAAGGGAAAAAUAUAUUUAAAAAAAAACUAAAAAAAGAAAAGAUAAUUUUUUUUUUUAUCCGAUGUAGGUCGGACCUAGGCUCAGAUCGGAUCAGAGGACUGGAUUGGGUUUACCUGGUCCAAUCCCGUUUUCCCGAAUAUAAUAAUAUUAAAUAUUAAAAUAUAUCAAAAAUUCAAAAAAUUUCAAAAAAAAUAUCAAAGUAAUAGAUUGUAUCAAAUUAAGGCAAAAAUAACAUCUAUGAAAUUUUAUUAAUUUUAUAAGGUCAUUUUUCCUAAUUUAAUGCUAUCUUGAUAUUCUAUAAUCAUUUUUGUAAAUAAUUUAUUUUGCGUAGAUUAAAAUUAUUUAAAGUAAUUUCAUGCAUAUAGAGUAAUUUCAUGCAUAUUUAAAUUCUCAUUUCGCUCUCAAAAAAAAAAAAAUUCUCAUUUCGCUCAUGGGGUCCUAUCACAGGGCGUGAUAACGAGGCCAUGUAAUUUUAUUUGCCUGACUUGCAUCGGGUUUUCUUUUUAUGUAUUUAUUUUCAAGUCAUUUCAAUUUCUUAGAUGUUUACUUGUGCACCGCUUUUCAUUAAUUUGAGUGGAAAUUUCUCUUUUAAAUUAUGUUAGGCUUAGUUUAGACAUUAAGGACCUACAAAAAUAUUUGCAUGGACACUUAACGAUUUUAUAAGAAUUAUAAUUAGUAAUAAAUAUUGUGUGGCCAUUUAGAUUAACAACUUUACAAGUUAGUAGUAUCACAAGAGUGCUAAUAGAAACAUUGGUGUAAACAAGUUCUAGUUCCUAUAAAUCUCUGGUUGCGUAGGAAUCGAGACAACACUCUCGCGUCUUGAUUGGUUUCUACUCAAUCCCAAUAGGUCAGUGGCGACUCCUAAAAUUACAUGGGUUGUCAAGAACUAAAAUAUAAAAUCCAACGUCUCGCGGUAUGGGCUUGGGAGAGCCCGUCCCUAAUUUAGGACAUUAGUCCGCCUUUUUGGGCAAAUACUCCUAAACAUGCUUCCUUUUUCUCUGAAUGGAAAAAGAGAGGUCGUGACAGGUGAUAGAAUCUUCGCCUGAAGCUGGAUACCAGUUUGCAGGUCAUGUAUAUACCGCCACAAUUCUUGUUUUGCUUGAGUAGGUUGGUGGGCUUGCAACUGAGUCAAUACUGUUACUCAUCAUUGGGUGUGACUAACAUAAUUGGCCUCUCAUCUUAGGGUGGGUCUUGUCGAUGUCAAAUGUGAACUUGAGCGAUGAUACCCUGGUGAGUAUUUUGAGGGAAAUCCUGUUUUAGAUUCUCGAGUUGGGUCGAUGCAUAAGCUUGAAAUUGGUGCGAAGUAGCAAGUGUUUAACAGUUGUUGAAUUGUUGUUCAAAGUCUAUGCACCAACCCAACUCAAGGACUUUAAAAGAGGACUUCCCCUCAAAAUACUUGUUAGGAUAUCGUUGCUCACGUUCACAUUUGAUAUUGCCAAGACCUUAAGACAAGGCCAAUUAAUGAUAAUCGCACCCAACGAUGAAAAACAACACCGACUCACUUGCAGGCGCACCAAGCUACUCAAGCCAAACAAAAACUGCAGCAGUAGUAUAUACAUGUCCUGCAAACUGGUAUUUAGCCCCAGGCGAAGAUCCUUCACCCGAUGCCCCUAUGUGAAGUGGAGCCACUCCUCGAGCUGGGGUCCAUCGGGCACCUUGUAAGGAAACUCAUUCAUGUGGAAUUUCUCCACGGUCACGGUCAUGGGUGUGACUAGCAUAAUUGGCCUCUCAUCUUAGAGUAGGUCUUGUCGAUGUCAAAUGUGAACUUGAGUGAUGAUAUCUUGGCGAGUAUUUUGAGGGAAGUUCUGUUUUAGAUUCUCUUGGGUUGGUGUAUAGACUUGAAAUUGGUGUGGAGUAGCAAGUGUUUAACAGUUGUUGAAUAGACAGCCAAAGCAGCACUCUCUCCCAUGUUCAAGUCUAUGCACCGACCCAACACAAAAAUUCUAAAACAGGACUUCCCCUCAAAAUACUCGUUGGAUAUCGUCGCUCAAUUCACAUUUGACAUCGCCAAGACCUUAAGACGAGGCCAAUUAAUGAUAAUCACACUCAACGAUGAAAAACAACACCAACUCACUUGCUCACUUGCAGGCGCACCAAGGUACUCAAGACAAACAAGAAUUGCAGAAGUAUAUACAUGGCCUGCAAACUGGUAUUCAGCCCUAGGCCUCCUUCACCCGAUGCACCUAUGUGAAGUGGAGCCACUCCUUAAACCAGGGUCCAUCCAAGCUACUCAAGCCCCAGGCGGAGAUCCUUCACCCGAUGUGCUUAUGUGAAGCGGAGCCAAAUAAGAACCGCAGUAGUAUAUACAUGGCCUAUAAACGUAUUCAGCCCCAGGCGGAGAUCCUUCACCCGAUGCCCCUAUGUGAAGCGAAGCCACUCCUUUAGCCGGGGUCCAUCGAGCACCUUGUAAGGAAACUCAUUCAUGUGGAAUUUCUCCACGGUCAAGGUACACCGGCUCAGGACACUGUCGACGAUGGAGCAUGAGUCGGCAUCGCGAGGCCGGAAUCCAUCGAAUACGAUGUUGGCAGGUGGUGGUCCAAGUCGAUUGCCACUGCCGGGAGAGGAUGCUUGUCUUGAUGAGUUCUUUGAUGGACAGAAGUGAGAUAAUCGCCAUGAUCACGUGAUCUGGCAAGUUGCUUGGACGUGGAGGAGGAGGAAGUCGGUGGCCGGAGGGUGGUCGGUCGAUCCUCCGGCACUUGGAGGGUUUCGCCAUGGGAAUUGAAAUUGUAGGGCUUUUUCUCUCGGUGAGCGGUGCGGCCCUUUUACUUUAUCUCGUUUUAUUUUAAAAAAUUAUAUUUUUUCUUUUCUUUUUUAAUCUUUGUCAUAACUUUGCUCCAUGACCAACCUGUAUGGUCAAUACUCAA
rnacentral:lncRNA from 1 species